GUUGGGUAGGGGAGCGUUCUGUAAGCCUGUGAAGGUGUGUCGUGAGGCAUGCUGGAGGUAUCAGAAGUGCGAAUGCUGACAUAAGUAACGAUAAAGCGGGUGAAAAGCCCGCUCGCCGGAAGACCAAGGGUUCCUGUCCAACGUUAAUCGGGGCAGGGUGAGUCGACCCCUAAGGCGAGGCCGAAAGGCGUAGUCGAUGGGAAACGGGUUAAUAUUCCCGUACUUGGUGUUACUGCGAAGGGGGGACGGAGAAGGCUAUGUUGGCCGGGCGACGGUUGUCCCGGUUUAAGCGUGUAGGUGUGUGUUCCAGGUAAAUCCGGUUCACUUUAACACUGAGGCGUGAUGACGAGGCACUACGGUGCUGAAGCAACAAAUGCCCUGCUUCCAGGAAAAGCCUCUAAGCAUCAGGUAACAUCAAAUCGUACCCCAAACCGACACAGGUGGUCAGGUAGAGAAUACCAAGGCGCUUGAGAGAACUCGGGUGAAGGAACUAGGCAAAAUGGUGCCGUAACUUCGGGAGAAGGCACGCUGACACGUAGGUGAAGUGAUUUACUCACGGAGCUGAAGUCAGUCGAAGAUACCAGCUGGCUGCAACUGUUUAUUAAAAACACAGCACUGUGCAAACACGAAAGUGGACGUAUACGGUGUGACGCCUGCCCGGUGCCGGAAGGUUAAUUGAUGGGGUCAGCGCAAGCGAAGCUCCUGAUCGAAGCCCCGGUAAACGGCGGCCGUAACUAUAACGGUCCUAAGGUAGCGAAAUUCCUUGUCGGGUAAGUUCCGACCUGCACGAAUGGCGUAAUGAUGGCCAGGCUGUCUCCACCCGAGACUCAGUGAAAUUGAACUCGCUGUGAAGAUGCAGUGUACCCGCGGCAAGACGGAAAGACCCCGUGAACCUUUACUAUAGCUUGACACUGAACAUUGAGCCUUGAUGUGUAGGAUAGGUGGGAGGCUUUGAAGUGUGGACGCCAGUCUGCAUGGAGCCGACCUUGAAAUACCACCCUUUAAUGUUUGAUGUUCUAACGUGGACCCGUAAUCCGGGUUGCGGACAGUGUCUGGUGGGUAGUUUGACUGGGGCGGUCUCCUCCUAAAGAGUAACGGAGGAGCACGAAGGUUGGCUAAUCCUGGUCGGACAUCAGGAGGUUAGUGCAAUGGCAUAAGCCAGCUUGACUGCGAGCGUGACGGCGCGAGCAGGUGCGAAAGCAGGUCAUAGUGAUCCGGUGGUUCUGAAUGGAAGGGCCAUCGCUCAACGGAUAAAAGGUACUCCGGGGAUAACAGGCUGAUACCGCCCAAGAGUUCAUAUCGACGGCGGUGUUUGGCACCUCGAUGUCGGCUCAUCACAUCCUGGGGCUGAAGUAGGUCCCAAGGGUAUGGCUGUUCGCCAUUUAAAGUGGUACGCGAGCUGGGUUUAGAACGUCGUGAGACAGUUCGGUCCCUAUCUGCCGUGGGCGCUGGAGAACUGAGGGGGGCUGCUCCUAGUACGAGAGGACCGGAGUGGACGCAUCACUGGUGUUCGGGUUGUCAUGCCAAUGGCACUGCCCGGUAGCUAAAUGCGGAAGAGAUAAGUGCUGAAAGCAUCUAAGCACGAAACUUGCCCCGAGAUGAGUUCUCCCUGAGACUU
rnacentral:rRNA from 1 species